CGUCAUUGCUCACCUCAAGCUUGGGCUUGGUCUUGGGCGUGCGUCCCGCGGGACGGGCCCGAAAAAACAGUGGCGGUGCGGCCGUGACCGCGAGCGUAGUAAUUAAUCGUUCGCUCCGCGCGUGACGCCGUGCCCGCCAGCCAACCCGUGAUUCAUCACCGGUUGACCUCGGAUCAGGUAGGGAUACCCGCUGAACUUAG
rnacentral:misc_RNA from 1 species